AGAAACAGCAAAGGGAUGCUCAGGGGAAAACAAGCAAAGCUGACAACUGAGGUGGGCAGUGCUACCCAGGUAGACGGGAAGAGGGCAGCUCCAUCAAGUUCCACCACCCGCAGCCCGAAGGUCCUCACAGAAUCACACAACGUUAGGGACUGGAAGGGACCUCGAAAGCUCAUCCAGUCCAGUCCCCCCAUGGAGCAGGAACACCCAGAUGAGGUUACACAGGAAGGUGUCCAGAAUCUGAAUUUGAGAGACCAGUGCUUGUCCACAAAUUCUCCAGGAAGUUAUGGAGAGAAAGCUACAGAUAACUACUACAAAUUUAUGGGUUUGCUCUUAAAAACAAAUUGCAUUUUACCUUUGAACUUGGAGCUAAAUGAACUUUUUAUAUUUGUUUUACAAAUUUUGAAUUUCUUUGCUUGCAUUUCCUGAAGGAUCACACUGGAGCACAUUGAGAGUUACAUGUUCACUUUGAAAAAGUAUUUUUCAAACAUCACUCUUUCCUGAAGAUAAGCUGUCACAUGUGCAUUACAAAACAGUCAUUUAAUUAUACAGUUUCAUACUUAAAAAAAAAAUGAUACACGGGGUGCUUGUGGUAUUGGUAGCACAAGAUAGCUGCAGAGCAAUAAAGAGAUCAGUAUUUAACAUUUCAUUCUAUCAUCAUGACUCAGUGUGUGGUUCAACGGCUCAC